rnacentral:lncRNA from 1 species
CACGGCAACGGCUGCGGCACGGCAACGGCUGGGGCACGGCAACGGCUGGUGCAUGUUGCCGGCGGAGGCAUUUAGGUAGUGCACGACGGCUGGGCGCCGGGCCUGUUUGGCUGUGACGCCCACCCCCGGCUUUCAUCCGCCUAUGCCCUAGGGCUAGUGGAAGACUUAAGAUGGCGGCGUUUGCACGGAGUGCAAUCACUGCGUCCUUACGGGGGUUGCAAGGCGUCCGAAGUAUGAGUCCACUAACAAAAGUCCAGAAACUCGCCAGUUAAUAGUAUUGUGUCUCUUCAAAAUAUCGGAGAAUAAUUUCUUUCUCGCUGAUCGCCUAACUUCUACUGACGAAGCUUGGAAGUUGCAGAAGGUACUGGCUCCUGUAUCACCCAGCUCUGGAGUUGAAAGAGCUCUUCAUUCCUGAGUCUCCUGUACCACUGAGAAUAGUUUCUUCAAAGGAAAGAAGCAACUGGAACACACAUAUAACACUAACCCUUCCAGCUGCAUUAUGAGGGACCAGUACCUGUCUCAAGGCAAAAUUAUGACUUAGUUCAUCCUCACCUCUGGAGGCCAGUAAAAGUGGGUUAUAGAAGAACAAAGAGGCAUCUAGAUCUUUCACUGGGUUAUUUGGAGAGAAACAUCUCCUACCGAAGGCCAGUUUAACAAGACUGGUAGAGGAGGUUAUCUUAUCUAAUUCACAGAAAUCAACACAUUGAGUCAAGAAAAAUGAAACACAGAAACACUCUAAAUAAAAGAAGAUAAGUCUUCAGAAACCAACCCUAAUGAAAUGAAGAUAUGUGAUUAACCUGACAGGAAAUUAAAAAGAGCAACCAUAAAGAGUCUCAUGGGAGCAAUGCAUGAACAAACUGAGAAUUUUCAUAAAGAAAUAAAAGAUAACAAAAAGUAUAAAGUUGAAGAAUACAAUAACUGGACUCAAAAAUUUAAUGUGUCCAACAGAAGAAUCGAUGAAGCAGAAGAAAGGGCUAUCAAACUUGUAGAUAGGCCAUUGGAAAUCAUGUAAUGUGAGGAGAAAAAAGAAAAAAGAUUGAAGAUAGUUUAAGAGACUUUUGAGACAUCCUCAAAGGGGAAUAAUUUAUACAUUACCAGAUGGAGAAGAUAGAGGGAAAAGGACAGAAAACAUAUUUGAAGAAAUAAUGUCAGAAAACCUCAUAAUUCUGGCAAGGAAAUAGAAAUUUAGAUCUAAGAAUCUCGAACAUCAGGUAUGAUGAAUCCAAGGAGACUCACACCAAACCAUAUUGUAAUUAAAUAAAGGUUAAAGACAAUCUUCAGAGCAGCAAGGGAAUAGUCUCUUCUUACAUACAAAAUGAUCCACGGAAGACUGUCAGCAGACUUCACCAGAAAACUUUCACGCCAGAAGGCAGUCGUGAUAUAUACAAAAAGCUGAAAGGAAAACACUGCCAUCCAGGAAUACUAUCUCCAACUAUCCUGUGUUUCAAAAAUUAAGGAGAAAUAUAAAGUUCUCAAACAAAAGAUGUGGGAGUUUACCACCACUAGACCUGCACGGGAAGAAUUGCUAAAGGGAGUCCUUCAAGCUGUAGUAAAAGAGUGCUAAUUAGAAACAUGAAAACAAAUACAAAAAAAAUUCUAAAACUUGUAUGGAACUACAAAAGACAUUAAAUAAUCAAAGUAAUCUUGAGCAACAAGGACACAGCUGGAGGCAUCACUCUACCUGAUUUUGUAAUCCAUUAUCAAAAAACUGUGGUACCAGCAUAAAAACAGAUUCACUGACCAGUGGAACAGGAAAGCCCAGACAUAACUCAUACAUUUCCAUCCAAUUGAUUUUUGACAAAAGUGGCACACAGAAUGGGGAGAGGACAAAUAAAUAAAUAAAUUGUUUUGAGAUAUCUGUAUAUCUAUAUGUGAAAUUGAACCAUUUUCUCAUAGCAUAUAGAAAAAUCAACUCAAAAUGGAUUAAAGCCUGAAAUGUUGCCUUUGAAACUGUAAAACUACUAGUAGAAAAUAUAGGGGAAAAGCUCUAUGAUGUUGUUCUGGGCAAUGAUUUCUUGGAUACAUCCUUAAAAGCAUGGGCAGCAAAAACAGCCAGACAACUAUCAGGGAACCUGCCCAGAUAGUCACAUAGGUUCUUUUCUAUUUUCCCUAAGCAUUGGCCGGGUUGAGAAAUAAAGGGACAGAGUACAAAAGAGAGAAAUUUUAAAGCUGGGCAUCCUGGGGAGACAUCACAUGUCGGUAGGUUCCGUGAUGCCCCCUGAGCCGUAAAACCAGUAAGUUUUUAUUAGGGAUUUUCAAAGGGGAGGGAGUAUACGAAUAGGAGGUGGGUCACAGAGAUCACGUGCUUCACAAGGUAAUAGAAUAUCACAAGGCAAAUGGAGGCAGGGCGAGAUCACAGGACCACAGGACUGGGUUGAAAUUAAAAUUGCUAAUGAAGUUUCGGGCACCAUCGUCAUUGAUAACAUCUUAUCAGGAGACAGGGUUUGAGAGCAACCUGUCUGACCAAAAUUUAUUAGGUGGGAAUUUCCUCGUCCUAAUAAGCCUGGGAGCGCUAUGGGAGACUGGGGCUUAUUUCAUCCCUACAGUCUCGACCAUAGAAGACAGCUACACCCAAGGGGGCCAUUUUAGAGGCCCACCCUCAGGGGCACAUUCUCUUUCUCAGGGAUGUUCCUUGCUGAGAAAAAGAAUUCGGCGAUAUUUCUCCCAUUUGCUUUUGAAAGAAGAGAAAUAUGGCUCUGUUCCGCCUGGCUCACCGGCGGUCAGAGUUUAAGGUUAUCUCUCUUAUUCCCUGAACAUUGCUGUUAUCCUGUUCUUUUUUCAAGGUGCCUAGAUUUCAUAUUGUUUAAACACACAUGCUCUACAAUUUCUGCACUUAACACAAUUAUCACAGGGUCCUGAGGCGACAUACGUCCUCCUCGGCUUACGAGAUGACAGGAUUAAGAGAUUAAAACAGGCAUAGGAAAUCACAAGGGUAUUGAUUGGGGAAGUGAUAAGUGUCCAUGAAAUCUUCACAAUUUAUGUUUAGAGAUUGCAGUAAAGACAGGCAUAAGAAAUUAUAAAAGUAUUAAUUUGGGGAACUAAUAAAUGUCCAUGAAAUCUUCACGAUCCACGUUCUUCCGCCAUGGCUUCAGCCAGUCCCUCCGUUUGGGGUCCCUGACUUCCCGCAACAGACAACUUGAGUUGCAUCAAACUAAAAAGCAUCUGCACUGCAAAGGGUACAGUUAACAGAAUGAAGACACGGGUUUUGAGAAACCAUUUUCAAAUCAUAUAUCUGAUAAGGGGCUAAUAUCCAAAAUGUAUUAAGAAACCCAAGCCCAAUAGCAAGAAAACAACUGUCUUUAAAAGGGGGAAAAGGACCUCAACUUAAAUUUUUCAGAGGAAGACAUGAGUGGCCAAUUGAUUGAUACAUGAAAAAAAUGCUCAACAUCUCUAAUCAUUAGUGAGUUGCAAAUCAAAACUGCAAGAUAUUACCUUACACCUUUUAGAAUGGCUAUUAUUAAAAGGAUGAAAGACAGGUGCUGGCAAGGAUGUGGAUAAAAGGAAGUCCCAACAUUCUGUUAGUGGGAAUAUAAAUUAGUAUAGCCAAUUUAGGAAACUAUAUGGUGGUUCCUUAAGAAACUAAAAGUACAAUUACUAUAUGAUCUAGCAAUCUCUACUUAGGUAUAUAUCCAAAGGAAUUGAAGCAGUAUGUUGAGAUCUUGCACUCCCUUAUUUUGAAAUUAUUUACAAAGCUAAUAAAUGGAAAAGACUUAAGUUUUCAUAACAGAUGAAUGGACAUAGAAGAUGUGUUGUAUAUACAUAUUGGAAUAUUUUUUAUCCUUGGAAAAGAAGGAAAAUUGUCAUUUGUGACAACAUGGAUGAAUCUGUAGUAUACUAUGCUAAGUGUUGUAAGACAGGCACAGAGAGGCAAAUACUACAUUAUAUUUGUAUGUGGAAUCUAAGAAAGGCUAACUCAUACAAGUAGAAAGUUGGAUGUUAUGGUUUCCAGGAUGUGGGUGUUGGAGAGAUGGGCAAAGGCAAGACGUUGGUCAAAGAGUACCAAUUUUCUGUUAGGAGGAAUAAGUUUUAGACAUAUUUCACAGCAUGGUGACCAUUGUCACUGACUGUAUAUUUUAAAAUUGUUAUAAGUAGAUAUUAAAGUUGUCACAACAAAAGUAGGUGAAGUUAUGGAUAUGUUAAUGUGCUUGAUUUAGUUAUUACACUAUGUAUACAUACAAAAACAUCAGAUAGUUCCCUGGAAUUAUAUACAAUUAUUACUUGUCAAUUAUAAAAAAAAGCCCUACUGCAACCACUAAAAAGGAUUUUCAUAUAAUAGAGGGAAAAAUCGUUAAAGAUAAUAAUACAUUAUUUUAGAAAAUAUUAACUUAUAAAAAGUAGUAUAGGAGGGAUUCUGUAAAAGAAGAUAGACAUAGAAUUUUAAAAUGUAUAAUGGAAAAUUUAAAUCCAGCUGUACUGAUGGAUCAAGCAAUCCAAACCAGUCUGAUUGACCAAGUGGAUAUUUAAAAAACAAUCAAACUAUAAGGUGUCUGUUGUAGGCAGUUUAUAAAAUACAAAAGUGUUGAAAGAAAUAGGAUGGAAAUAGAAAUAUCCAAGUAGCAACCACAAAAAAACUGGAAUGUCUGCACUAACAUCAUACAAAACAAACCAAAUGAAGGUUAAAAAUAUUGAAAUUAUACAAAAUAUGUUCUAUGACUAAAAUUUAAUGAAAUUAGAAAUAACACAGAGAUAGGAACUAUACAUAUUUGUGCAAAUUUAAAAAGUUAUGCUGAGUGUGGUGGCUCACACCUGUAAUCCCAGCACUUUGGGAGGCCGGGGAGGGUGGAUCACUUGAAGUCAGGAGUUGGAGACCAGCCUGGCCAACAUGGUGAAACCCUGUCUCUACUAAAAAUACAGAAAAUUAGCCAGAUGUGGUGGUGUGCGCCUGUAGUCCCAGCUACUCGGGUGGCUGAGGCACUAGAAUCACUUGAGCCUAGGAGGCAGAGGUGGCAGUGAGCCGAGAUCACACCACUGCACUGCAGCCUGGGCGACAAAGACUGUCAAAAAAAAAAAAAAAAAAAAAAAGUUACGUAACCAACAAGUCAAAGGAGAAUUUAUAAGGAAAUCAGAAAAUACUUUGAGGUGAAUGAAAAUACAGAAACAACAUAUCAAAUUCUGUGAGAUGUGUGAAAGCAACGCUUACAGUGAAAUUAAUAGCUAUGAACAUUGUAAUGAAAUGAGAAGUACUUCAAAUUACUAACCUAACUUUCCAACUUUAGAAAAUACAGUAAAAAAAGAACAAAUUAAAAUCAAAGCAGAAAGGAUAUAAAGUUUAGUGUGGAAAUAGAGAAUUAAAAAUAAUUGAGAAACACAGCACUUCGUUGACUUAUUCAUAAAAUAAAGCUUUAUUAAAAUGAGAAAUGUAAAACGUGAUGUUCCUAAUGACCUUAUUCCAUACAAGGGAUUAGUAUUUUGACAAAUAUCUUUGUGGAAGUAGACAAAUUCCUAGAAAGACACUGACUACCACAACUCAUUCAAGAACAAAGUGAAGACAAUAAAUUGGUAAUUUAAAAACUCUCACCCCUGCCCCUGACACACAUGUAAAUUCCCAGUUCAAAUGUAUUCUUUUGUAUAUUAUACCAAACACAUGAAAAUUACCAAUUCGAUAAAAAUGUCUUAAAAACUUGGAAGAGCAUGUAAUAUUUUUUACUGGUUCUAUGAUGCUAUUGUUAUCUAGAUACCAAAGUGAAACAUCAUACACAGGGAAAACUCUGAUAAUAUCGCUUAUGAGUGGAUCUGUGAAAUUUCCUAGUAAAUUUUGGCAAACCAAAUACAGUAACAUAUAAACAGGAAUGUACACCAGUACCCAGUACAGUGUAUCCCUGGAAUGCAACGUUAUUUCAUCAGCUGGAAAUGAUUAGUGCAACAGACUGAAGGAAGAAAACAACAUGGUCAUCUCAAUAGAUUGUGGACGGCUGGAAGUGGAGGCUCACGCCUGUAAUCCUAAUACUCCUACCAACAGUGUAUAAGCAUUCCUUUUUCUCUGUAACUUCACCAGAAUCUGUUUUUUUGUUUGUUUGUUUGUUUGUUUUUGACUUUGUAAUAGCCAUGGGCUGGGCUCAGUGACUCACGCCUGUAAUCCUAGCACUGGGGGAGGCUGAGGUGGGCGGAUCACUUGAGGUCAGGAGUUCGAGACCAGCCUGGCCAACAUGGUGAAACCCCAUCUCUACUAAAAAUACUAAAAUUACCUGUGCAUGGUGGCAAGUGCCUGUAAUCCCAGCUACUCGGGAGUCUGAGGCAGUAGAAUCACUUGAACCCAGGAGGUGGAGGUUGCAGUGAGCGGAGAUUGUGCCACUGCACUUGGACCUGGCUGACACAGCAAGACUAUGUUUAAAAAAAAAGAGAGAGAAAAAAAAAAUAGAAGGUGGAAAAAGUAUUUGGUAAACUAAGAAGUAAACCACAACCUAGUAAAGGGCAUAUUUUAAGAAUUCACAACUAGAACCUGGUGCCGUGGCUGUAAUCCCAGCACUUGGGGAAGCCAAAGCAGGAUUACUUGAGGCCAGAAGUCUGAGAUCAGCCUAGGCAAUAUAAGGAUACUCUGUAUCUUAAAAAAAAAAAAAAAAUCCAGAUGUGAUGACACAUGCCUGUACGCCUAGCUACUUGGGAAGCUGAGGUUCAUGUUUACAAUGAGCUAUGAUGAUGCCACUGUACUCCUGACUGAACAACAGAGUGAGACCCUGUCUCUAAAAAGCAAAACAAAACAGAAAACCCAAAACCCUCAAAACUAAUGUUACACUUAGUAUUUAAAGAAUGCUUUCUCUGUAAGAAGAGGAGCAAGGACAGGAUAAAACAUUCUUGCCAGUUCUGUUCAACAGUGUACUGGAAGUAUCUGUGACAUUAAUUGCAUUGCAUAUGGAAGGAAAUAAAAUUUUUUAAAUAGGAAGCAGCAAAACCUUUUGCAGAUGACAUGGUUUUGUACAUACACAACCCCAGUGGAUCCAAUAAAUUUGGAUUCCAAUAACAAGAUCAUCUCAGCAAGUUUUUGUGAUUUAAGAUUACAAUCCAAAAAUCAGUUGUAUUUCUAUAUAUUAUUAAAGAAGUCAAAAGUGACAUCAUUGAAACAUUUUUAUUUACAAUAUUAUUAAGGCAAAAUACUGUGGGAUAAAGUGAAAUUCAGCAUGAACUGUGAAUAACACAAAAUAUUUGUCAGAGGAGUUGAGGAAUAUCUACAUAUGUGGAAAGACAUCUCAUAUUUGUGGACUAGAAGAUUUAAGCAUCGCUAGGUGCGGUGGCUCACGCCUGUAAUCCCAGCACUUUGGUAGGCUGGUCUCGAAUUCCCGACCUCAGGUAAUCUGCUCGCCUCUGCCUCCCAAAGUACUGGGAUUAUAGGUGUGAGCCACCAUGCCCGGCCCUUUGUUUUCAAAUCUCAUAUCCAACAUUGGACUUAUGGCUAGAAUAUUUACAUAAUUCUCAAAAGAUAGUAUUAAAAAUCCAAAGCUUUAAAUUAGAAAAUGGGCAAAAGUCAUGAAAGAACAUUCCCCUGAGGAUAGGGAAAUGUCAAUAAGGACAUGAUGGAAAUUAAUACUAUGAUGAGAUAUUACAGAAGAUUUAUUUUUCUUUGAGGCGGAGUCUGCCUCUGUCACCGAGGCUGGAGUGCAGUGGCAUGAUCUCAGCUCACUGCAACCUCCACCUCCCGGGUUCCAGCGAUUCUCCUGCCUCAGCCUCCCAAGUAGCUGGGAUUACAGGCGCCUGCCACCACGCCCAGCUAAUUUUUUUUUUUUUUUUUUUUUUUGUAUUUUUAGUAGAGACGGGGUUUCUCCAUGUUGGCCAAGCUGGUCUCAAACUCCUGACCUCAGGUGACCCACCUGCCUCAGCCUCCCAAAGUGCUGGAAUUAAGAGGUGUGAGCCACCACACCUGGCCUACAGCAGAUUUAUUUCAGUAGCUGAAAUAGUUAAAACAUAAUGAUUCCAAAGGCUGAGAAGCAUGCAGAAAAAAUUGAAUCUUUAUUGCUGAUGGGAAUAUAAAACUGUAUACCACAUUGGAAAAUAAUUUGGCAAUUUCUUUUAAAGCUAAACACACACAUACAGUUAGUUAGGCUUAGCAAUUGCUGUCAUGGCCUAUUUCAUAGAAAUGAAAAUUUAUGUGUAGACCAAACCUGCACUUGACUGUUCACAGAAAUUUUAUUUGUAAUAGUCAGAACCUGGAAACAACUCACAUGUUAUUCACCAGGUAAACAGUUAAAUAAGUCUGUUAUUUCCGUAUUGUGUAAUACAACUCAAAAAUUAAAAGGAAUAAACUACUACUAUACAAAUAAGCCUUAGAUGAUUCUCAAUUCUGAAGGAAAAACCCAUUUCAAGUUGUAACAUAAUGCUUAUUUUUAUGUAUCUUAAUGUGAUGAAGUUAAAUAGUUUAGAGAACAUUGUUCGUAUUCAUCUGUUAGGGAUGGUAGAAGUUAGGGUUGUAUGUGAUUAUAAGACUAGUGGAAGGGAUACGUUUUUAAUGAUGGAUGAGUUCUGCAUUCUGAUUCAUGCAGUGGUUACAAAAAUGUAUACAUGUGAUAAAAUGUCAUGUAAAUGUGCACAUUUCACCAAUGACAAUGUGCUGGUUGUGAUAUUGUACAAUGUUAAUGGAAAAUAUCACCACUGGGGAAAAUUGAGUGGUAUGUGUAAACGGUACUAUAUUUGCAGCAUUUUGUGAGUCUUUAUUUUAACAUAAUAUGUAAAUAUGUAAAGCAACUAGAAGAAUGGUUUUAAUACAGGAGAGUAACAGCUUAUAAGCAAGAGAAAGAAAAAUGAUAAAUAAUGUGAACACUUACCAAAGGAAGGGUGGAACAGAGAAAUAAAGGACAGGGAAAAUUAUCUGGGAUGAUUCCUAAAUUCCAAUAUUUGGAUGGAACUAUACAGAAUUUUAAUAUAUCUGGAAAAUAAACUGAAAAUAUUAACGGAUCCACAGAUAUUGAAGACUUAACCUUUUUUAUCUCAUUAUUCAUUAAAACAAGUGAAAUGUUAUAGGGAAUUCUUCAAAUUGAAAGAAGCAGCUCAUGCAUAACACAAAAACAUGAAUGUAUAAAACUGACUGGUAAAAGGUAAGUAACUCAAAUUCACAGUACUGGUAUACUGUAAUGGUGGUGUACAAAUAACGUAUAUCUUUAUUGUUAAGGUUAAUACACAAAACUUUUUUAAUGAGAUGGCUGUUGCUAUGUUGCUCAGGCUGGUCUGAAACUUCUGGGCUCAAGCAAUUUUCCCCCCUCAGCCUUCUGAUUAGACGGUAUUAUGGGCACCUGCCAUGAUGUCCAUCUACAAAACUAUUAAUAAUUACAACAAUUUGUUUAGCCAUAUGUGAUAUAAAUAUAUGUAAGGUGUGACAUCAAGAACAUAAUGGGUCACCAAAAUCUCAGAGUAAAAACACUCUGGUUUUACUCACCCCCAUAGAACCUCAGUAAUAUAUCCAGCACCAAUAUUAUCACAAGUUAUAUCCCAGAACUGAAAUCCGAGGCUGAGACAUUUCCUCAGACUACAGAGAAGUGAAAAACUUGGAGCAGAUGAUAAAAGGCUUCUUCUGUAUUUAUGAGACUCCUAUGUGCCUGCCAUCAUGUGUGGAAAAUUUUAUCGACAUUCACCAGUUCAACAUGGGAUAAAUGUGAGAUUUUGGCACACAGCUUCUUCACCAUCUUGGCUUCUCUUGUUGAAAAGCUGUUAAUAGCUUAAAACAUGGGAAGUA